rnacentral:rRNA from 1 species
CCUACGGGAGGCAGCAGUGGGGAAUAUUGCACAAUGGGGGAAACCCUGAUGCAGCGACGCCGCGUGAGUGAAGAAGUAAUUCGUUAUGUAAAGCUCUAUCAGCAGGGAAGAAAAUGACGGUACCUGAGUAAGAAGCCCCGGCUAACUACGUGCCAGCAGCCGUGGUAAUAUGUAGGGGGCGAGCGUUAUCCGGAUUUACCGGGUGUAAAGGGAGCGUAGACGGCAGUGCAAGUCUGGAGUGAAUGGCGGGGGCUCAACCCCCGGAGUGCUGUGGAAACUGUACGGCUGGAGUGCAGGGGAGGUAAGUGGAAUUCCUGGUGUAGCGGUGAAAUGCGUAGAUAUUAGGAGGAACA